rnacentral:piRNA from 1 species
UAUGGAAGUCGUCAUCAAGCUUGAUGA